rnacentral:rRNA from 1 species
GGUCACCUACGGGACGCAGCAGUGGGGAAUAUUGCACAAUGGGGGGAGCCCUGAUGCAGCGACGCCGCGUGGGUGAAGGAGUAUUUCGGUAUGUAAAGCCCUAUCAGCAGGGAAGAACAAUGACGGUACCUGACUAAGAAGCACCGGCUAAAUACGUGCCAGCAGCCGCGGUAAUACGUAUGGUGCAAGCGUUAUCCGGAUUUACUGGGUGUAAAGGGAGCGCAGGCGGCGCGUUAAGCCUGGCGUGAAAGCCCGCGGCCCAACCGCGGGGCUGCAUUGGGAACUG